UACGUAGGUGGCAAGCGUUACUCGGAAUUACUAGGCGUAAAGCGCAGGUAGGUGGUUGGGUAAGUCCGUAAUGAAAUCUCCCGGCUUAACCGGGAGGGGUUUAUGGAAACUGCCUGACUCGAGUGUGGGAGAGGUAACUGGAAUUCCAGGUGUAGCGGUGAAAUGCGUAGAUAUCUGGAGGAACACCAAUGGCGAAAGCAGGUUACUGGCCCAAUACUGACGCUGAGCUGCGAAAGCUAGGGGAGCAAACAGG
rnacentral:rRNA from 1 species